GCCAGAGAGGCUUUUCAUCUGCCUUUGGCCUGGACUUAGUUCUAGGGAAACGGUGUGCCUGAAGCCGGCUCAGCCGUAAGGGCAGGCCAAGACCGGGCCAUCUCUACCUCCUUCCAACAGAGGAACAGCCAACAACCAACAAAGAGCAAUUCUGCUGUGUUGCUGCUUGUGGGAUGUCUGCAAACACGCUGGUGGACAGCCAUGCCUCCUGGCUCACCUGGAAGACUCACUUGUCCUGGUUCCAUUCAUAUUCAAGAGGAAGACACUAAAAAGCCAAUUAGAAGUUCUAUAUGCAUGGGCAAGGAUGGUUCACCGCUAGCCAUAUCUGUAGAGUAACUUCCCACUCCAAAAAAAACCCCUAAAAUGUCAGAAUCUGUGAUAUUUUUGCCUUUGGCUAGACAGGUUCUCCAGAAAAGAAUCCUCCAAAAAAGCAAAUAAAAAAAUGUAUAUUAUGUACUCUGAUGAAAUAUAUCAAUACUUUCAGAAGAUAAUGAGAUAAAACAAAGCUAUGUGAAAAAUGCUUCAAUUUCCAAAAUAUUAAAAAUUUGUGAAUCCUACGCUUACCAUUCCUCCACAUUCAUUAUGCUUGAUUCACUCUGAUUUGCUGAUGA